GGGAAACCUGGGAAGAUUGAUAUGAACUACUACAAAGUGAAAUGAGUAGUCAGGAAAACAAGUUGCUCGAUCACCAUAAUAGCCAAAGGAAACCCAGAAGCAGAGACAAGGAACAGCUGUCCUUUGCAGAAAAUCUCUGAAACCGGAUUCUCCUCAAGCCUUUCCGUGAGAUACAGGAUGCUCUAACAGCAACAAUUGGAAUAAUUAAGAACCGAAAUGAAAGUUAUGGCAUCAGCUUUGGUGAAAUAUUUCAUGUCUUGACUCAUGCAAGAAUAUCAGACCAUGCAGAAUUCAUAUCUUCUCAUAAGGGAUCAUUUAUCAAGGAGAUCAAGCAAGUUAGCCCCCCACUCCUGAGAGAUUUAUAUCAUCAAAGAAAAAAGCAAAUGAAGAUACAUAAGCCGAGGUGAACAUGCCCAUCCCAGAAAUCUUCUCUGGAUUCAUGGAGGAAACCAGGAGGCUCAAAGCUAGCGGAGGAAUAAAUUCCUAGAUACCAGAGAGGGAGAAGGAGCC
rnacentral:lncRNA from 1 species